AUUUAGACAUUUGUUUAACAUACCACUCACAAUUAGUCUCCAUUUUUCAUUUCUUUGAAAUCAAAUUUUUUUUAUAAUGGAAUCAUUAAUAAAAAUGUUCUUCAAGUUUUUGGUGCUUUUUGUUGCGAUUACAAGUGCUCUCGCUAUCAACAUACAAGGCUUACAACCUUGCUGUGAACCAGAAGUGCCAUGUGACCCACAAAGGUGUAAGAAGGCUCCAUGUUGCAUCCCGCCAUCUAGUAAUCGAAAGCCCUAAAAUAUUGAUUAUAUUGUAUUUCCUUCACACCAAUCAUUUUCAACAUGAGAAUCAUUCAUCUCAUAUAUAAUAAUUAUAUUAAUAAGAUUGGUUAUUGAAAUAUUAUUUUGAAA